rnacentral:rRNA from 1 species
UAGUCCACGCCGUAAACGAUGUGUGCUAGUUGUUGGAGGCUUAAGUCUUCAGUGACGCAGAGAAAUCACUAAGCACACCGCCUGGGGAGUACGGCCGCAAGGUUAAAACUCAAAGGAAUUGACGGGGACCCGCACAAGCGGUGGAGCAUGUUCUUUAAUUCGAAGCAACGCGAAGAACCUUACCCACACUUAACUAUCCUCUUGGGACUUUCAGAGAUGAUCGUCUUCGGUUCGGCCGGGGAGUGAAUAGGUGCUGCAUGGCUGUCGUCAGCUCGUGUCGUGAGAUGUUAGGUUAAGUCCUGCAACGAGCGCAACCCUUAUCGUAUGUUGCCAGCAUUUAGUUGGGCACUCAUGCGAGACUGCCGGUGACAAGCCGGAGGAAGGCGGGGACGACGUCAAGUCAUCAUGGCCCUCACGUGUGGGGCUAGAAACGUGCUACAAUGGAUGUGACAGUGGGCAGCCACUCCGCGAGGAGGAGCUAAUCCUUAAACACUA